rnacentral:lncRNA from 1 species
UGCUCCACUGACAGCUCACACAAAAUUGCCGCACAUUUCAUCGAGCUGUAAUCUCAGAAAAGCCGUAGUAUCCCUUCAUGAUAUGAACAGGCACGGCGUAGUUCAUAACGAAAGAAAAACACGGCUCGGGGAUAUGAAACGAACUAGAAGACAGACGGGGGCUCGGUUCUUCUUGGUAGCAUUCUAGUUCCCCCAUUCAUCUAAUCAUCGCUACCCAUCUUGUACAGACAGUAAAUUAGUUGUUAGGAGGAUCAACCGCACCCACCAGGUGCAAAAACAUAGAGAACACUGCCCUCUAGUGGAGACAACUGCAGUUUUAAGCUGCCGCUGACUUCAGUCCAGUUCACAGCGUGAGAGAGCAAGUUGUCGUGUUGAAGAACAGGUUUUAUUCGCGCAAAAAUAAAGGGGGAAAAGUAUUCGAUGAGUGUAUACUUUGUGCGAGUACAUUGAAAUUGUGAUUAACAGUAAAAUAACAAGUUAUCAAAUCUUAUAUCAAUAAUUCUGUCUUUAUGGUUCUUCUGUUCGCUUAAUUAACUUUCAUAAAGGGUGAGCGAAAAUGUUGUGCUUAGUGAGCCAGUUGUCCUCUUCUUCUUCUCUCUUUUUUUAUUUUAUUAUAUAAACUAUUUUACCCACCGUUGUCAGAAAGUUAUCGUCCCCAAGAUGAGUGAGUUGGGAGUUCGUCACGACACUGCUAACUUUGUGUUAAGAUAACUAAUUUUCCCAAGUUAUGGGGUCUGACUGUAUUGUUGUGUAAACAGAAGCCAUUUCAUCCCAACAAACCUGCUUCGAGGAAGUAUACCCGUAAUACCACGAGUAACUUUGGGUGGACCUAGACCGAUCAGCGAGGAAGUAAUCACUACCCUGAACCUCACACUAUCCCUCACGAAACUGAAGGUGUCUUUGUGUAAUGCUUCACAAUGGCCCAUUUGUACUCUGUCCACGGCAGGGAAUCUAACCCCGGAUUUUAGAGUUGUGAGACAACAAACAAUGCCCUGAAAGAAUGUACUACCAGAAGAAGUGAAUUUUGGGAUUGAAACCACCAACAUGUGCUGUCUGUAUGAACACAAAAGCUUGAUUGUGCUCUGAAGUUGAAGAUGACGCCACAAUCGUCUCAUGGAAGAACACCAGUAUCCAGUGAUCUGAAAAGAAAUCCCUCAAGUACCGUGGGUGGUGGUGUUAAAAUACCUAAAGGAAGUGUUUGAGAGCCACGAAGUAUUUAUAAUCUUAUACACACGCUACUGAACACAAUAAUAAUACCGCUUACAGCGUGCAUUGACCAUAAUGUAUGCAUGUUUACUUGAAGAGACGUUAUCGAACAAUUAAUUGUCUUGUCACUCAACAAGUUGUGAUAAUAUUUAUUCUAUAACGCCGUUGCAAUCAAUUCUAAUUCACUUGUUUACCCUUUUUUCCCCCGAUUAUUAAUUUUCAAUUAACAUCAUGUUAGGUUCCCCCAAAAAGAAAUUAUCGCUGUUCGUUCUUCUAAAUCUAUAAACGUACUGCACCUGUUACACAAAAUAUAUCAAAAACGGUUUGGAAAUAAAAACUUUCACUACAUCUAAAACUUA